AGAGCGAACGCUGGCGGCAGGCUUAACACAUGCAAGUCGAGCGGGCGUAGCAAUACGUCAGCGGCAGACGGGUGAGUAACGCGUGGGAACAUACCUUUUGGUUCGGAACAACACAGGGAAACUUGUGCUAAUACCGGAUAAGCCCUUACGGGGAAAGAUUUAUCGCCGAAAGAUUGGCCCGCGUCUGAUUAGCUAGUUGGUGAGGUAACGGCUCACCAAGGCGACGAUCAGUAGCUGGUCUGAGAGGAUGAUCAGCCACAUUGGGACUGAGACACGGCCCAAACUCCUACGGGAGGCAGCAGUGGGGAAUAUUGGACAAUGGGCGCAAGCCUGAUCCAGCCAUGCCGCGUGAGUGAUGAAGGCCCUAGGGUUGUAAAGCUCUUUUGUGCGGGAAGAUAAUGACGGUACCGCAAGAAUAAGCCCCGGCUAACGUUCGUCGCCAGCAGCCGC
rnacentral:rRNA from 1 species